UACGAAGGGGGCUAGCGUUGUUCGGAAUUACUGGGCGUAAAGCGCACGUAGGCGGAUCGAUCAGUCAGGGGUGAAAUCCCAGAGCUCAACUCUGGAACUGCCUUUGAUACUGUCGAUCUAGAGUAUGGAAGAGGUAAGUGGAAUUCCGAGUGUAGAGGUGAAAUUCGUAGAUAUUCGGAGGAACACCAGUGGCGAAGGCGGCUCACUGGUCCAUUACUGACGCUGAGGUGCGAAAGCCAGGGGAGCAAACGGG
rnacentral:rRNA from 1 species